rnacentral:rRNA from 1 species
GUGAAUCAUCGAGUCUUUGAACGCACCUUGCGCCCCAUGGUAUUCCAUGGAGCAUGCCUGUUUGAGUGUCACGUGAAACCAUCACUCUCAUCAUGUCGAAAGGCGCGACGGGAAGUGGACUUGGACUGUGCCGUCAUCGGCUCGUCUUGAAAUGCAUUAGCCGUGCUGGUAGAUUCGGCCACCUGGUGUGAUAUUUUAUUUACGCCUGCCGUGUCGUCUCUCUGAUGCUGGCUCAUAAUCGUCGCUUGUCGACAACACUCUUUAAUGCUCUGGCCUCAAAUCAGGUAGGACUACCCGCUGAACUUAAGCAUAUCAAUAAGGCGAGG